rnacentral:rRNA from 1 species
AACGAACGCUGGCGGCAUGCCUAACACAUGCAAGUCGAACGAGACCUUCGGGUCUAGUGGCGCACGGGUGCGUAACGCGUGGGAACCUGCCCUUAGGUUCGGAAUAACUCCCCGACAGGGGUGCUAAUACCGGAUAAUUUCUUCGGACCAAAGAUUUAUCGACUUUGGAUGGGCCCGCGUUGGUUUAGCCUGUUGGUAGUGUAAAAGCCUACCAAGGCGACGAUCCAUAGCUGGUCAGAGAGGAUGAUCAGCCACACUGGGGGUGGGACGCGGUCGAGACUACUACGGGAGGGAGCAGAGGGGAAUAUAGGAAAAUGGGCGAGAGCCUGAUCCAGCAAGGCUGGGAGAGUGAUGAAGGCGUUAGGGUAGUACAGCUCUUUUACCCGGGAUGAUAAUGACAGUACCGGGAGAAUAAGCACCGGCUAACUCCGUG